GAUGAACGCUAGCGGCAGGCCUAACACAUGCAAGUCGAGGGAGAGGUUACCUUCGGGUCACCAAAACCGGCGCACGGGUGCGUAACGCGUAUACAAUCUGCCUUUCACAUAGGGAUAGCCCGAAGAAAUUUGGAUUAAUACCUAAUGGUAUAUAAGAGCGGCAUCGUUUUUAUCUUAAAGCUACGGUGGUGAAAGUUGAGUAUGCGUUCUAUUAGCUAGUUGGAGAGGUAACGGCUCCCCAAGGCGACGAUAGAUAGGGGUUCUGAGAGGGAUGUCCCCCACACUGGUACUGAGAUACGGACCAGAGUCCUACGGGAGGCAGCAGUGAGGAAGAUUGGACAAGGGUCGGAAGACUGAUCCAGCCAUGCCGCGUGCAGGAUGAAGGUCCUAUGGAUUGUAACCUGCUUUUGUAAGGGAAGAAUAAGGAGUACGGGUACUUUGAUGACGGUACCUUACGAAUAAGCAUCGGCUAACUCCGUG
rnacentral:rRNA from 1 species